GCUUUCCCUGGGCGGUCUGAAGCGGAGACAUCAGAUGCUGUUAUCACAGCAAACGUGCCGUCAUCUUCGACUCAACAGUAAUUCUAGCCAGUCUUCGUCACACCGGAUCUUCAGGGUGAGCUAAUGCUUCUAGCUUGGACUGGAUCUCCUUCCUCAUGUCUUGAUGCCUUGAAGUUUCGGCAUAGACUAGCU